UACGUAGGGCGCGAGCGUUGUCCGGAUUUAUUGGGCGUAAGGAGCUCGUAGGCCGCCUGUUGCGUCUGCUGUGAAAUCCCGGGGCUUAACCCCGGGCGUGCAGUGGAUACGGGCGGGCUAGAGGCAGGCAGGGGAGAACGGAAUUCCCGGUGUAGCGGUGAAAUGCGCAGAUAUCGGGAGGAACACCGGUGGCGAAGGCGGUUCUCUGGGCCUGUUCUGACGCUGAGGAGCGAAAGCGUGGGGAGCAAACAGG
rnacentral:rRNA from 1 species